rnacentral:rRNA from 1 species
GAUUAAGGGCGCGCGGUGGAUGCCUAGGCUCUCGGAGGCGAAGAAGGACGCGAUAAGCCGCGAUAGUCCACGGCGAGGUGCAAGUAACCCUUGACCCGUGGGUUUCCGAAUGGGGCAACCCGGCCGUCUAGAUGACGGUCAUGCAUUAUCAUGCAGGCGAACGCGGGGAACUGAAACAUCUCAUUACCCGCAGGAGAAGAAAACAAAAUGUGAUUCCCCCAGUAGUGGCGAGCGAACGGGGAAGAGCCCAAACCGCUGCCGUUUCGGCGACAGCGGGGUCAUGGGACCGCGAGAUUCGACGGAAGACGAAGUGCAAUUACCUGGAAAGGUAAGCCGUGGAGGGUGAUAGCCCCGUGCACGACACCUCUUUCUUAGAUAGCGGUAUCCCGAGUAGGGCGGGACACGAGAAAUCCUGCCUGAAUUCGCCAGGACCUCCUGGCAAGGCUAAAUACUCCCGAGAGACCGAUAGUGAACCAGUACCGCGAGGGAAAGGUGAAAAGUACCCCGAGCAGGGGGGUGAAAUAGACCCUGAACCCGCGCGCCUACAAGCGGUCGGAGCCACGCGAUGUGGUGACGGCGUGCCUUUUGCAUAAUGAGCCUACGAGUUAGUCGUCACCAGCGAGGUUAAGGGCUUCAGGCCCGUCAGCCGAAGUGAAAGCGAGCCUUAACAGGGCGUAAAGUUGGUGGCGCUAGACGCGAAACCUUGUGAUCUACCCACGAGCAGGUUGAAGUCGCGGUAACGCGUGAUGGAGGACCGAACCGGUAAACGUUGAAAAGUUUUCGGAUGACUCGCGGGUAGGGGUGAAAGGCCAAUCAAACUGGGAAAUAGCUCGUACUCUCCGAAAUGCAUUUCGGUGCAGCCUGUGAUGUUCUGUUCCAGAGGUAGAGCUACUGGUUGGACGCGAGGGCUUCACCGCCUAUCAAAUCCGGAUAAACUCCGAAUGCUGGAACACGAAAUCAUGGAGUGAGCCCGCGGGUGCUAAGGUCCGCGGACGAGAGGGAAAGAACCCGGACCACCGGCUAAGGUCCCGGAUGGACAGUUAAGUUGAUCAAACGAGGUGGGAUCGCGGAGACAGCUAGGAUGUUGGCUUGGAAGCAGCCAUUCAUUUAAAGAGUGCGUAACAGCUCACUAGUCGAGCGAUCCCGCGUGGAUAAUACACGGGCAUAAAACUGUCAACCGAAGCCGUGGGGUUAGCUUUAUUGCUAACCGGUAGGAGAGCAUUCCUGCCAGCUUUGAAGGUCACCCGCGAGAGUGACUGGAGCGGCAUGAAAAGCAAAUGUAGGCAUAAGUAACGAUAAUGGGGGCGAGAACCCCCCACGCCGCAAGACCAAGGCUUCCCCGGCAAUGUCAAUCAGCCGGGGGUCAGCCGGCCUCUAAGGCUAACCCGAAGGGGGACGCCGACGAGAAACGGGUUAACAUUCCCGUGCUUCUCGUCACCGUGACGCGGUGACGGGGUGAUGAAUGGACCGCGCGCAGACGGAAUAGCGCGUUGAAGGCCGUACCCUUUGAGGGUGGUAGUCAAGCACGCCACCGGAGGCGACAGCCGAUAGUACCUCGAGGCCUCGGCCGAGGGGAUAGCGUCCAGGCAAUUAACCCCCUAGAAAACCCGCUAAACUUCAAGUGACGAGGAACCGUACCGUAAACGGACACACGUGGUCGGGUAGAACAUACCAAGGCGCUCGAGUGAUUCAUGGUCAAGGAACUAGGCAAAAUAGUCCUGUAACUUAGGGAUAAAGGACGCUCUAGUGAUAGAGCCGCAGAGAAAUGGCCCAGGCGACUGUUUACCAAAAACACAUGGCUAUGCCAAAUCGAAAGAUGACGUAUAUGGCCUGACACCUGCCCGGUGCCGGAAGGUUAAGAGGAGAGCUCAUCAGUAAUGAGAAGGUUUGAAUUGAAGCCCCGGUAAACGGCGGCCGUAACUAUAACGGUCCUAAGGUAGCGAAAUUCCUUGUCGGGUAAGUUCCGACCUG